rfam:Schizophyllum commune H4-8 unplaced genomic scaffold SCHCOscaffold_16, whole genome shotgun sequence.
CCCUUCUUAGCUCAGUUGGAAGAGCGUCAGACUGUAAUAGGAUGCAUUGUGAUCUGAAUGUCGCCCGUUCGAACCGGGCAGAAGGGA